GUUCCCUUGUGGUGCAACAACAAUGUUCCUUGCUACCAGCAAAUCAUAUCCAAAUGGAUAGACCCGGAGUGGAGGGCCCAACAUCGAAUGGCUUCCGAGCGGCGUGCCUUGAUGGGUGGUCCGGUACACCUUCAAGGCAACCUCAGCCUCCACGCUUACGUGCAGAAGAAGAAUAGGGAGAGAGGUGAGGGCCAAGAGAAGCUCAAUACCUUCACGGGAUUAUGUCUCUCCCGCAAGUCAAAGAAACCGGAAGGGGGUGGGUCAACCCAGGCGCUGGCUUGAGGAUUGAUGCAUACAGUGGGAAGUUCAAGGAGCACAACGGGCCUGACUCUGAUCCGGCCUCACAGGACAUUGACGCUACAAUUUCCCUCCAGUCGGGAGAUGUCAAGAAGGGUGGUCGGUUAUAUGUUGGCGACGGUGCCAUCCAUAAGAAGGACAUCCAAAAACUCUCUCACCUCCGUGCUACCACGUCGAGCUCAGGUCCUGCUAUAGAGCGUCGCCCACAGCUUGGGCUGCACAUGCUUCAUCAACUCGAGGCCAAUGCCAGGCUUCGAGAGGAGCAAGCCAUGAAAAUGCAGCAGGCUUUCAACAGCAAGAAUUCAUGGUUAAACAACAGGCAAUCCUGCAAGAGACAUUUGCUCAACUCAGAAAUAAUAUGCAGGGUUCCACUUUGCC